rnacentral:rRNA from 1 species
UACGGGGGGUGCAAGCGUUAUUCGGAAUUAUUGGGCGUAAAGGGCGCGUAGGCGGUUUUAUAAGUCAGAUGUGAAAGCCCCGGGCUUAACCCGGGAAGAGCAUUUGAAACUAUUGAACUUGAGUACGGUAGAGGAAAGCGGAAUUCCUGGUGUAGAGGUGAAAUUCGUAGAUAUCAGGAGGAACACCGGUGGCGAAGGCGGCUUUCUGGACCUGUACUGACGCUGAGGCGCGAAGGCGUGGGUAGCGAACGGG